CGUACCUUCAUGUUCUUGGGCUUCAAUGUUCUGCCACCCACUCACGCCUUGGUACCACCAGGUAGUGAUGCUGGCAAUCUCUACAUGCUGUAUACCAUCGAAUAAUCGACCAGCAAACUCGACUUUUAAAUUUAACGCGCAGGGAGGACCGUUACACUUAUGAUUUCCAUCCAACAGAACAAAUAGGCAAAAUUACGUACUGUGUGAACCGUGAAUUGAAAUCUGGGAUAAUCUUUACUUGUUGUUUCAUUUGUCUUUUGUUGUCCGCCAAAAGCGGUUUAUUUGACUAUUCGUGGUGAUUUUGUUCGUCUCUUGAAACUAACUGCCUUCUAGACGUAUUGCCCAUACGAUGUACAACUAAAAAACUAUGUAACGUUUUCGGCACCGUACCUUUCAGCGUUAAAUUUAAGAGAAACGCGCACAGUAUACGUACACCAAACACGUAUACAUAUAAUGAGUGUGGAGCCGAGAAAUACGAAGACAAAGUAUAAAAGUAAAUUGAAACUAAUAGUCGGGAAUACGUAGAACGCGUACAUAACAGGCUUUCGAUUAAGAUAUUGUCGAAAAUACCAAUUCAUUCUCUUGAAUACAAUGUUAACACCUCUCUUGAGAGCACGUAAUUGCUGAUGAAGCUUCCCACGUGAAAGAAUUUGACGGUAUCGAUGUUAUAACAAUUAUAGAGAACAACGAACCGUCAAGUUAUAGAAGAAAUUUAUUACCGACAAAUCUCAAUGUUAAUUGUGACCAAUUGGGUAUCGCCGCGUUUUAUUUUGUAUCACCGUAUAUUUUCUUAUAUUGUUUGUAAGUAUUACUAUCAAUAUCGAUUAUAUAUUAUAUACGUAUACGUCACGAUACCAGUAUAAAAUUCUUCGAAAUAGUUGUAGUUUUUUUCUUUAUUGUAUACAUAUACAUACAUAUAAAUUUCAAAUCGAUUGUUUCGGUAUCGAGAUCAAUUUGUCUAAAUAAAAAAUUUCUAAUAAUAAAAUUUUCAGCGGAAUGAAACUACGAUAAAUAGUAUCAUUUUUUUUAUAUAGUCGUCCAUUUAAUGUGUUGUGUCGUGUCUUUAGGGAGACGCAGAAAUAUGUUGAAGUAUUAUCUAGUAUUGUAUUGUUAAGUUACCUUUCCAAAUAUUUCAACAUUCACGUUAUUAUUACACUGGUAUCGAUCGUUAUAUAAUCAUUAUUACGUAAAUGUUUGUUUAUUAGAUUUAGGUGUAAGUUAUUAUUCUGAAGGUGAUGAAUAUAAUAAUUAAUGAUGAUAUCUCUGGUAAUCACCGAUCAAUUAACAUUGCAGAGUUUUUGCUAAUAAAUAUGUUCUUUAGUGUUGACUCGAUAACAGAUGAUAUUAAAUCAUUGUAAAAUCACAAAAAAAAAAAAGUUAAAAAUAUUGAAAAAAAAAGAAGAAAAAAGUUUUGAUAGCUUAUAUUA